UAUGGUAGUGCCAGCCGCCGCGGUAAUACGUAGGGGGCAAGCGUUAUCCGGAAUUACUGGGUGUAAAGGGUGCGUAGGUGGUAUGGCAAGUCAGAAGUGAAAACCCAGGGCUUAACUCUGGGACUGCUUUUGAAACUGUCAGACUGGAGUGCAGGAGAGGUAAGCGGAAUUCCUAGUGUAGCGGUGAAAUGCGUAGAUAUUAGGAGGAACAUCAGUGGCGAAGGCGGCUUACUGGACUGAAACUGACACUGAGGCACGAAAGCGUGGGGAGCAAACAGG
rnacentral:rRNA from 1 species